CCUACGGAGGGCAGCAGUGGGGAAUAUUGGACAAUGGGGGGAACCCUGAUCCAGCCAUGCCGCGUGUGUGAAGAAGGCCCUCGGGUUGUAAAGCACUUUCAGUGAGGAAGAACGCCUGGUGGUUAAUACCCAUCAGGAAAGACAUCACUCACAGAAGAAGCACCGGCUAACUCCGUGCCAGCAGCCGCGGUAAUACGGAGGGUGCGAGCGUUAAUCGGAAUUACUGGGCGUAAAGCGCGCGUAGGUGGCUUGAUAAGCCGGUUGUGAAAGCCCCGGGCUCAACCUGGGAACGGCAUCCGGAACUGUCAAGCUAGAGUGCAGGAGAGGAAGGUAGAAUUCCCGGUGUAGCGGUGAAAUGCGUAGAGAUCGGGAGGAAUACCAGUGGCGAAGGCGGCCUUCUGGACUGACACUGACACUGAGGUGCGAAAGCGUGGGUAGCAAACAGGAUUAGAUACCCUUGUAGUC
rnacentral:rRNA from 1 species